GGCGGCAGGCUUAACACAUGCAAGUCGAGCGGGGAGAUGUAGCUUGCUACACUUUUCUAGCGGCGGACGGGUGAGUAAUGCUUAGGAAUCUGCCUAUUAGUGGGGGACAACAUUCCGAAAGGAAUGCUAAUACCGCAUACGCCCUACGGGGGAAAGCAGGGGAUCUUCGGACCUUGCGCUAAUAGAUGAGCCUAAGUCAGAUUAGCUAGUUGGUGGGGUAAAGGCCUACCAAGGCGACGAUCUGUAGCGGGUCUGAGAGGAUGAUCCGCCACACUGGGACUGAGACACGGCCCAGACUCCUACGGGAGGCAGCAGUGGGGAAUAUUGGACAAUGGGCGGAAGCCUGAUCCAGCCAUGCCGCGUGUGUGAAGAAGGCCUUUUGGUUGUAAAGCACUUUAAGCGAGGAGGAGGCUACUUGGAUUAAUACUCUAGGAUAGUGGACGUUACUCGCAGAAUAAGCACCGGCUAACUCUGUGCCAGCAGCCGCGUUAAAUA
rnacentral:rRNA from 1 species